AAGUAGCAAGUGCAGGACAUGAAAAAGGAAGAGGAGUGGUCAGAGGAGAGCCUGAGGAUGAGAAAGUCAUUCGAGGUUGUGACGUCAUCACAGAAAGCACCUGUUGGCUCAGAGCUCUGCGGCCUGGUUUCUUACCACUGCAGACCCGAAUCCUGGGUAGGGCUCGCCUGUCCGCCCCACUCCACCAUGGGCUCCAGGCUCCUCUGCUGUGUGGGCCUCUGCCUCCUGGGAGCAGGCCUCUUGGACACAGCAGUUUUCCAGACUCCAAAAUACCUCAUCACGCAGGCAGGAAAUGAGAAGUCCCUAAAAUGUGAACAAAAGCUGGGCCAUGAUGUUAUGUACUGGUAUAAGCAGGACUCCAAGCAACUGCUAAAGGUUAUGUUCACGUAUAAUAAUAAGGAACUCAUUCUAAACGAGACAGUUCCAAGGCGUUUCUCACCCAACUCUCCGGACAAAGCUCAUUUGAACCUUCAUAUCAACUCCUUGGAGCCAGGCGACUCUGCUGUGUAUUUCUGUGCCAGCAGCCAGUCCACAGCCCUGCAAUGUCACUGCUUCCCCGUGCACAAACCCCAGGCUCAGCCAGGAAGCUGUGGGGACAACAUACUCACCCACCCCUGA